rnacentral:ncRNA from 1 species
CUAUCCUCCCGGCGUCGCGGUCAAUCCCGCGACCGGGUUUGACAGCCCGAACU